rnacentral:rRNA from 1 species
AGCGAACGCUGGCGGCAGGCUUAACACAUGCAAGUCGAACGCCCCGCAAGGGGAGUGGCAGACGGGUGAGUAACACGUGGGAACGUACCCUUUGGUUCGGAAUAACCUGGGGAAACUCAAGCUAAUACCGGAUAAGCCCUUAUGGGGAAAGGUUUACUGCCGAAGGAUCGGCCCGCGUCUGAUUAGCUAGUUGGUGAGGUAACGGCUCACCAAGGCGACGAUCAGUAGCUGGUCUGAGAGGAUGAUCAGCCACACUGGGACUGAGACACGGCCCAGACUCCUACGGGAGGCAGCAGUGGGGAAUAUUGGACAAUGGGGGCAACCCUGAUCCAGCCAUGCCGCGUGAGUGAUGAAGGCCUUAGGGUUGUAAAGCUCUUUUUCCCGGGACGAUAAUGACUGUACCGGGAGAAUAAGCCCCGGCUAACUUCGUGCCAGCCGCCGCGGUAA